AAGAGUUCUAUAACUCCCAAACCCAUGUGAACAUACCGUAUGUUGCCUCGGCAGGUCGUGUCUACCCUGUGGUGCCCUACCCUGUAGGGCCUACCUGGUAGAUCCGGAUAACCUGCCGGCGGCCCCUCAAACUCUGUUUAAUAGUGAAUCUCUGAACUAUAACUAAAUAAGUUA
rnacentral:misc_RNA from 1 species